rnacentral:rRNA from 1 species
UUCUCCGUAGGUGAACCUGCGGAGGGAUCAUUACCGAGUUUACAACUCCCAAACCCCUGUGAACAUACCAAUUGUUGCCUCGGCGGAUCAGCCCGCUCCCGGUAAAACGGGACGGCCCGCCAGAGGACCCCUAAACUCUGUUUCUAUAUGUAACUUCUGAGUAAAACCAUAAAUAAAUCAAAACUUUCAACAACGGAUCUCUUGGUUCUGGCAUCGAUGAAGAACGCAGCAAAAUGCGAUAAGUAAUGUGAAUUGCAGAAUUCAGUGAAUCAUCGAAUCUUUGAACGCACAUUGCGCCCGCCAGUAUUCUGGCGGGCAUGCCUGUUCGAGCGUCAUUUCAACCCUCAAGCCCCCGGGUUUGGUGUUGGGGAUCGGCGAGCCUCACGGCAAGCCGGCCCCGAAAUACAGUGGCGGUCUCGCUGCAGCUUCCAUUGCGUAGUAGUAAAACCCUCGCAACUGGUACGCGGCGCGGCCAAGCCGUUAAACCCCCAACUUCUGAAUGUGACCUCGGAUCAUGUCGAUCCCAGU